rnacentral:lncRNA from 1 species
GAAAACUGAGGAGCUGAAAGCGUAAAUUCCAUCUUAGGAUGGCUUGUAAUAUUUUGUGGGUAUAAAAGGCAUUUUUGUGACUACUCCAUCAUAGGCCUUUCCUCUUACCAAAAUCUUAGCUUUGGUGCCUGCCUUGUGUAAUCCAGAUUUCACAUAUCCCAUUGCUAUGUUCUUCUUCAGGCAGGGGCUAAAUCCUCCGCUGGUGAUUUCUCCAAUGUUGUUCCCUUUCUCGUCCUGAAUCUCACUGUGAGAUCUUGGAGGUGGGCCGGUGGAGGUGAAGCCGACUCUCCUGAUCGACGGACCCUCUGCCAGUUGUUUCAGGAUUACCUCAGCUCCUAAGAAUCCACCUUCUGCUCUUCUCCUCUUCCCUAUGGCCCAUGUCAGUCCAGCUUCGACUGGUGAAAUGUGUUGUUCCAUGUCAUUGCCGUAUAAACAUAGGCCAGCUUCGAGUCGGAGACUGUCUCGAGCUCCAAGUCCUGUCAACCUUACCUUUCCUUCCGAUUUCUCCAAGAUUGCUUUGGCAAGAUCCAGAGCAUUUUCUGAAGGAACUGAGAUUUCAAAUCCAUCCUCACCGGUGUACCUGAAAAAUAGAUAGAUAAGAGACAACUUUAUCAGUUAUCCUCCAUAGCAUCCCAAGAUAUGAUAACAUUCAACCUGCCAACCAAGCCAGUACUCUUGGAAUAUGAAAGAAACAAAAUUGAAGAUUACCCUGUCCGAGUGAGAAAACAUGUUGCACCGUUGAUAUCCAAUAUUCGGAAUUCCCCAAAAUAUAUCUUACUCAAAUCAUCCUUUGUCAGAUGUUGAAGAACUGGGGCAGCAAGAGGACCCUGUAAUAGAAUUAUAUGUUUCAAAAUUGUUCAAAUGCUACAGGAAAGUCAUUUCUUCACUAACCUGCAAAUCUGUGCUAGUUGACCAAAUUAUUCAAGAAUAAAAGGAGAACAUUUGUGUGGACUACAACUCAAGAAAGUAUGAAAAGCAUGCAUGUUUGGCUCAACAAUCACUGGCAAAUUGAUAGAAUCAAAUACGGAGACCUAUAAAUCGAAAGGGUGUAGUGAUUAACCUGGAGAGCUAGAAGAGAUCUCUCAUCAUGGAUGUGCCACGAGACAUCACCACCUUUGGCCUUGAAUGCUUUCAUAUGCUCUUCAAUGUGAGCCAGAUCCUUAUCCCUGCAGCCUGCAUUCACAACCAGAUAUAUGUGAUCAUCUUUCACUUUAGUAAUCACUGAAUCAUCGAUUGCCC